UACGAAGGGUGCAAGCGUUACUCGGAAUUACUGGGCGUAAAGGGUGCGUAGGUGGUCUUUUAAGUCCGUUGUGAAAUCCCUGGGCUCAACCUGGGAAUGGCAGUGGAUACUGGAGGGCUAGAGUGCGGUAGAGGGUAGUGGAAUUCCCGGUGUAGCAGUGAAAUGCGUAGAGAUCGGGAGGAACACCAGUGGCGAAGGCGGCUACCUGGACCAGCACUGACACUGAGGCACGAAAGCGUGGGGAGCAAACAGG
rnacentral:rRNA from 1 species